GUAGUCUCGCACAGAUGCAUAUCAAUAAGCGGAGGAAAAGAAACUAACAAGGAUUCCCUAGUAACGGCGAGUGAAGCGGGAAGAGCUCAAAUUUGAAAUCUUAAAGGGUUUCCCUUUACGAAUUGUAGUUUAAAGAAGUGUUUUCUGUUGAGGUUUUGGUAAAAGUUCUUUGGAAUAGGACAUCAUAGAGGGUGAGAAUCCCGUAUUUGACCUUUACUUUCAACUUUGUGAUACACUUUCAAAGAGUCGGAUUGUUUGGGAAUGCAGUCCAAAAUGGGUGGUAAAUUUCAUCUAAAGCUAAAUAUUGGCGAGAGACCGAUAGCGAACAAGUACCGUGAGGGAAAGAUGAAAAGAACUUUGAAAAGAGAGUUAAACAGUACGUGAAAUUGUCAAAAGGGAAGCGUUUGACACCAGUGUUGUUUUCUCGAAAAUCAAUUAAAAAGAGUUAGAUUUUGUUGUGUAUUGACCUUAACAACUUGCAUUUCAAUUUUCUUGCUUUUUUUAAUGCACUUUUCGUUUAACAAGUCAACAUCAGUUUCUUUUGUUGUAAAAAGGUCAUUGGAAGGUGGCUUUCUUUUCGGAGAAAGUGUUUAUAGCCUUUGACUCCUGCAAUCGGAGAGACUGAGGUCUGCAGCGUAGAUCCUUCGGGGUUAGAUACAUUUGUGCUAAGUUAUAGCUUUUUAUAGACAACUUGUUGACUAUGAUUAGUCUUGUAGCUUACUCGCUUAUGCUAUUUUACCUACGCUUAGGAUGUUGAUGUGAUACUGCGAGC
rnacentral:rRNA from 1 species